GAUGAACGCUGGCGGCGUGCCUAAUACAUGCAAGUCGAGCGAACAGAUGAUGAGCUUGCUCCUCUGACGUUAGCGGCGGACGGGUGAGUAACACGUGGAUAACCUACCUAUAAGACUGGGAUAACUUCGUGAAACCGGAACUAAUACCGUAUAAUAUAUUGAACCGCAUGGUUCAAUAGUGAAAGACGGUUUUGCUGUCACUGAUAGAUGGAUCCGCGCCGCAUUAGCUAGUUGGUAAGGUAACGGCUUACCAAGGCAACGAUGCGUAGCCGACCUGAGAGGGUGAUCGCCCACACUGGAACUGAGACACGGUACAGAGUCCUACGGGAGGCAGAAGUAGGGAAUCUUCCGAGAUGGGCGAAAGCCUGACGGAGCAACGCAGCGUGAGUGAUGAAGGUCUUCGGAUCGUAAAACUCUGUUAUUAGGGAAGAACAAAUGUGUAAGUAACUAUGCACGUCUUGACGGUACCUAAUCAGAAAGCAACGGCUAACUACGUG
rnacentral:rRNA from 1 species